rnacentral:tRNA from 1 species
GGGCCUGUAGCUCAGGCAGGUAGAGUGGCUGGCUCUUAACCAGUAGGUCGUGGGUCCGAAUCCCACCAGGCCCG